CUAUAGAGAGGGGAAUCGAACCCACAGUGUUCCGCUUACCAGGCAGAUGCCAUGUCCACUAGGCUACCCUGGACUGCUAUA